rnacentral:rRNA from 1 species
UGAGUACGAGAUGCUACGGCAUCGAAGCAGUCUAUGUCAUACUUCCAAGAAAAGCUUGCACUGUCAUAAACAAAGAAUGCCUGUACCAUAACCGACACAGGUGGGUAGGUAGAGUAUACUAAGGGGCGCGAGAUAACUCUCUCUAAGGAACUCGGCAAAAUGACUCCGUAACUUCGGGAGAAGGAGUGCCUUAUUUAUAAGGUUGCAAUAACAAGAUCCAAGCAACUGUUUAUCAAAAACACAGGUCUCCGCUAAGUCGUAAGACGAUGUAUGGGGGCUGACGCCUGCCCAGUGCCAGAAGGUUAAAGAAGUUGGUUAGUGUAUGCGAAGCUGAUGACUGAAGCCCUGGUGAACGGCGGCCGUAACGAUAACGGUCCUAAGGUAGCGAAAUUCCUUGUCGGGUAAGUUCCGACCCGCACGAAAGGCGUAAUGAUUUGGAUACUGUCUCGGAGAGAGGCUCGGUGAAAUAGACUUGUCUGUGAAGAUGCGGACUACCUGCACCAGGACAGAAAGACCCUAUGAAGCUUUACUGUAACUUGAAAUUGGAAUUGGACUUUGCUUGCGCAGUAUAGGUGGGAAGCGUUGAAAAUAUUCUUGCGGGAGUAUUGGAGCUAUCAGUGAGAUACCACUCUUGUAAUGUUAGAUUUCUAGCUUUGAACCAUAAUCUGGUCAAAGAACAGUUUCAGGUGGGCAGUUUGACUGGGGCGGUCGCCUCCCAAAUGGUAACGGAGGCGUACAGAGGUUUCCUCUGAACGGAUAGAAAUCGUAUCUAGAGUGUAAAGGCAUAAGGAAGCUUGACUGUGAGACCUACAAGUCGAGCAGGGACGAAAGUCGGUCUUAGUGAUCUGACGGUACUGAGUGGAAAGGCCGUCACUCAACGGAUAAAAGUUACUCUAGGAUAACAGGCUGAUCUCCCCCAAGAGUUCACAUCGACGGGGAGGUUUGGCACCUCGAUGUCGGCUCAUCGCAUCCUGGGGCGGUAGUACGUCCCAAGGGUUGGGCUGUUCGCCCAUGAAAGCGGUACGCGAGCUGGGUUCAGAACGUCGUGAGACAGUUCGGUCCAUAUCCGGUGUAGGCGCUAGAAUAUUGAGAGGAGCCUUCUUUAGUACGAGAGGACCGAGAAGGACACACCGCUGGUGUACCAGUUAUCGUGCCAACGGUAAACGCUGGGUAGCUAUGUGUGGAGUGGAUAACCGCUGAAAGCAUCUAAGUGGGAAGCCCACCUCGAGAUGAGUAUUCCC